rnacentral:rRNA from 1 species
GAUGAACGCUGGCGGCGUGCCUAAUACAUGCAAGUCGAGCGAACGGACGAGAAGCUUGCUUCUCUGAUGUUAGCGGCGGACGGGUGAGUAACACGUGGAUAAUCUACCUAUAAGACUGGGAUAACUUCGGGAAACCGGAGCUAAUACCGGAUAAUAUUUUGAACCGCAUGGUUCAAAAGUGAAAGACGGUCUUGCUGUCAGUUCUAGAUGGUUCCGCGCUGCAUUAGCUAGUUGGUAAGGUAACGGCUUACCAAGGCAACGAUGCGUAGCCGAACGGAGAGGGUGGUCGGCCACACUGGAACGGAGACACGGUCCAGACUCCUACGGGAGGCAGCAGUAGGGAAUCGUACGCAAUGGGCGAAAGCCUGACGGAGCAACGCCGCGUGAGUGAUGAAGGUCUUCGGAUCGUAAAACUCUGUUAUUAGGGAAGAACAUAUGUGUAAGGAACUGUGCACAGCUUGACGGUACCUAAUCAGAAAGCCACGGCUAACUACGUG